rnacentral:tRNA from 1 species
GGGUAAGAAGCGAAAAAUUGCAUUCAGUUUCGACCUGAAAAGAUGGUAAUAAUACCCUUAUCCU